GCUACAGGCUUAACACAUGCAAGUCGAGGGGCAGCAUGGUCUUAGCUUGCUAAGGCCGAUGGCGACCGGCGCACGGGUGAGUAACACGUAUCCAACCUGCCGUCUACUCUUGGACAGCCUUCUGAAAGGAAGAUUAAUACAAGAUGGCAUCAUGAGUCCGCAUGUUCACAUGAUUAAAGGUAUUCCGGUAGACGAUGGGGAUGCGUUCCAUUAGAUAGUAGGCGGGGUAACGGCCCACCUAGUCUUCGAUGGAUAGGGGUUCUGAGAGGAAGGUCCCCCACAUUGGAACUGAGACACGGUCCAAACUCCUACGGGAGGCAGCAGUGAGGAAUAUUGGUCAAUGGGCGAGAGCCUGAACCAGCCAAGUAGCGUGAAGGAUGACUGCCCUAUGGGUUGUAAACUUCUUUUAUAAAGGAAUAAAGUCGGGUAUGGAUACCCGUUUGCAUGUACUUUAUGAAUAAGGAUCGGCUAACUCCGUGCCAGCAGCCGCGGUAAUACGGAGGAUCCGAGCGUUAUCCGGAUUUAUUGGGUUUAAAGGGAGCGUAGAUGGAUGUUUAAGUCAGUUGUGAAAGUUUGCGGCUCAACCGUAAAAUUGCAGUUGAUACUGGAUAUCUUGAGUGCAGUUGAGGCAGGCGGAAUUCGUGGUGUAGCGGUGAAAUGCUUAGAUAUCACGAAGAACUCCGAUUGCGAAGGCAGCCUGCUAAGCUGCAACUGACAUUGAGGCUCGAAAGUGUGGGUAUCAAACAGGAUUAGAUACCCUGGUAGUCCACACGGUAAACGAUGAAUACUCGCUGUUUGCGAUAUACUGCAAGCGGCCAAGCGAAAGCGUUAAGUAUUCCACCUGGGGAGUACGCCGGCAACGGUGAAACUCAAAGGAAUUGACGGGGGCCCGCACAAGCGGAGGAACAUGUGGUUUAAUUCGAUGAUACGCGAGGAACCUUACCCGGGCUUAAAUUGCAGAUGAAUUACGGUGAAAGCCGUAAGCCGCAAGGCAUCUGUGAAGGUGCUGCAUGGUUGUCGUCAGCUCGUGCCGUGAGGUGUCGGCUUAAGUGCCAUAACGAGCGCAACCCUUGUUGUCAGUUACUAACAGGUUCCGCUGAGGACUCUGACAAGACUGCCAUCGUAAGAUGUGAGGAAGGUGGGGAUGACGUCAAAUCAGCACGGCCCUUACGUCCGGGGCUACACACGUGUUACAAUGGGGGGUACAGAGGGCCGCUACCACGCGAGUGGAUGCCAAUCCCCAAAACCUCUCUCAGUUCGGACUGGAGUCUGCAACCCGACUCCACGAAGCUGGAUUCGCUAGUAAUCGCGCAUCAGCCACGGCGCGGUGAAUACGUUCCCGGGCCUUGUACACACCGCCCGUCAAGCCAUGGGAGCCGGGGGUACCUGAAGUGCGUAACCGCGAGGAGCGCCCUAGGGUAAAACUGGUGACUGGGGCUAAG
rnacentral:rRNA from 1 species